AUGAUGUCCAGGUACGACUGCCAGGCCUCUCUCCGGGUCUCCUGGGUGGCCGGGGGUCUUCCCCGGCUCCUCAGCGCCCCCAGGGUCAGCAGGACCAGGUCUCUGUUCCUCCGCUCCACCCGCUCCACCUCCUGGUCUCUCCUCCUCUCCACCUCCUGGUCUCUCCUCCGCUCCACCUCCUGGUCUCUCCUCCUCUCCACCUCCUGGUCUCUCCUCCUCUCCACCUCCUGGUCUCUCCUCCUCUCCACCUCCUGGUCUCUCCUCCUCUCCACCUCCUGGUCUCUCCUCCUCUCCACCUCCUGGUCUCUCUUCCUCUCCACCUCCUGGUCUCUCCUCCUCUGGACCACCUCCUGGUCUCUCCUCCUCUGGACCACCUCCUGGUCUCUCCUCUCCACCUCCUGGUCUCUCUUCCUCUCCACCUCCUGGUCUCUCCUCCUCUCCACCUCCUGGUCUCUCCACCUCUGGACCACCUCCUGGUCUCUCCUCCUCUCCACCUCCUGGUCUCUCCUCCUCUCCACCUCCUGGUCUCUCCUCCGCUCCACCUCCUGGUCUCUCCUCCUCUCCACCUCCUGGUCUCUCCUCCUCUCCACCUCCUGGUCUCUCCCCCUCUGGACCACCUCCUGGUCUCUCCUCUCCAACUCCUGGUCUCUCCUCCUCUCCACCUCCUGGUCUCUCCUCCUCUCCACCUCCUGGUCUCUCCUCCUCUCCACCUCCUGGUCUUUCCACCGGACCCCCCUCUCUACCUCCUGGUCUCUCCUCCUCUCCACCUCCUGGUCUCUCCUCCUCUCCACCUCCUGGUCUCUCCCCCUCUCCACCUCCUGGUCUCUCCUCCUCUCCACCUCCUGGUCUCUCCUCCUCUCCACCUCCUGGUCUCUCCUCCUCUCCACCUCCUGGUCUCUACCCCUCUCCACCUCCUGGUUUCUCCACCGGACCCCCCUCUCCCUCUCCCUCUCCUCCAAACCCAUUCCCUCUACCUCCUGGUCUUUGCUGCUUGUUAUUCUGCGAAAAUGA
rnacentral:lncRNA from 1 species